GGACCCGCACAAGUAGUGGAGCAUGUGGUUUAAUUCGAAGAUACGCGCAGAACCUUACCAACACUUGACAUGUUCGUCGCGACUUUAAGAGAUUAAAGUUUUCGGUUCGGCCGGACGAAACACAGGUGCUGCAUGGCUGUCGUCAGCUCGUGUCGUGAGAUGUUGGUUAAGUCCCGCAACGAGCGCAACCCUCACUUUUAGUUGCCAUCAUUAAGUUGGGCACUCUGAAAGAACUGCCAGUGAUAAGCUGGAGGAAGGUGGGGAUGACGUCAAGUCCUCAUGGCCCUUACGUGUUGGGCUACACACGUGCUACAAUGGUAGGGACAGAGAGCAGCCACUACGCGAGUAGGAGCG
rnacentral:rRNA from 1 species